CCCUUAGAUGUCCUGGGCCGCACGCGCGUUACACUGAUGCAUUCAACGAGCUUAUAACCUUGGCCGAGAGGCCUGGGCAAUCUUGUUAACGUGCAUCGUGAUAGGGAUAGAUUAUUGAAAUUAUUAAUCUUGAACGAGGAAUUCCUAUUAAACGCAGAUCAUCAAUCUGCAUUGAUUACGUCCCUGCCCUUUGUACACACCGCCCGUCGCACCUACCGAUUGGAUGGUCCGGUGAAGCCUCGGGAUUGUGGUUCUUGCCGCUUUAUUGUGGCGUGACCGCGAGAACUUGUCUAAACCUUAUCAUCUAGAGGAAGGUGAAGUCGUAACA
rnacentral:rRNA from 1 species